UUGUCUGAUGUCACCAACCUUUACAUUAAUUUGCUUUAAACAUAUGGUGCAGGCUACAGUUAAAUCCAUCUGGAUUAAAUUAGACAAUUCUACAUUAUUUAGGGUCAUUAAUAAAUACACCUUUCUAGUUCAAUUCAUUAAAUAAUUUGUCUAAUGUCUCUGCUGAUUUUUCUUGUACUUACAAUUUUCAGCGUUGCCUCGGGGUCGAGGAAUUUGCUAAUAGCGAAUAAAAAAUGACAAAUCCCUGGGAUUUUGCCCGGCCGGGGGGGGGGCAUUCCCUUUAAAAUUGGGGCCAUUCCAUUUAAAAUUUACACCCCCCUGUUGAAGAGGUUACUGAUUUUAGACCCCUUCGGAAACGGUUUUCCGGACGACCCCUCAGAAAUUCGCUGUAGAAUCCCUUCGGAAAUUUUUUGUAGAAAAAAAAAGAAGUCUUCGGAAAUUUACGAUUUUUUCUCAAGCCCCUCGGAAAUACCUGUUGACGUGGGUUCCAUUACGAUAGACCCCCUCGGAAAUUUUCGGGAAUUUAUUUUUGACCUCCCUCGGAAAUUUUCGUGAACAGGUAGUGCCUUCCUCCUUGCCCCCCUCGGAAAAAUAUUUUGACCCCUUGGAAAAUUAAAAAAUAAUUUUUAUCCCUUCAGAAAUUUUCCUUUUACAACCCCCUCAGAAAUUUCAACUUUGCAUCUCUCAGAAAUUCAGAAUUUUAGACCCCCUUCGAAAAAUCUCGUCAACAGGGGGGCAGGGUCUUAGCUAGGAUUUUAGAUCUUGGGCGUGUUUCUAAUGACCAGGGCGUGCACAUGUCAAUUACCUUGAAUAGCAAAAUCACGGUUCUAGUUAUGCUCACCA